CUGCCCUAUUGGUGACUGACGCCUUGCAAAUGCUCCCGCAGCCUGAGAGGCGGAGGCAGUGCGAGGGACUCCUCUGAGCCUCCUCGUCAUCACGAUGAGAUGACGUGUAGGUUUCAGACGCGAGCGUUUGGGCGCUGCGAGCUCGUGGAAGGGUGAGCGGGGCAGCCCCGACUUCCACGGCUCCCCACGGCUCAGGGUGGACUCACUGGCUGUGUGCAUUGGCCAAACCCGGAGGAGCCCUGGGUGGUCGAGGACAGGCCCAUCCAUGCGUCCCCGGGGCCGGCUCAGGUAUGGCUCGAAACUCAGGAGAAGGCAGAAGACGCAGCUUGCCCUGGGGGUAUCCCGGGGGGGCUGGCAACCACGGUCUUCUCCCUGAAACCCGGAGGCUCCCAGGGUCGAACCCGAGGAGGAAGCGCCUCUCACCCUCGGGCUGCAGCCUGGCACGGGGCCCAGAGAUGCUGCUUACAGCGUGAGGCGGGGGGCGCACAGCGGCGGCCGCCAGUCCCUGCAGCCCUGGGGCCGAGGGCCGUUGCCGGGGGCACGGGUGCCGCAUUCAGCAGCCCCGCGUCCGGCCUGGUGAGGAAGGAGCCCUGGACUUACACACCGGGCCCAUUGGCGGGCCUGGGCCACCCGGCUCGGGGUGUCCGUUCGGGUGACCCCUGCUCUACUCACUUAGCCAGCCUCUCCCUUUGUGGGCUCCUUGCAUCUGGAGGUGGUUCUGGGACAGUGAGCUGGGUUCGGAGCACGAGUCCUGGGUCCUGGGUGUGGACCGAGGCCCCUCACUGCCUAACGGCCCCGCCUCGGAAACUCCAGCUUCAGCCGCCAGAAAGAGGAAUUGGGGGGAAAUUUGUAAAAUUGUCUGGCACUGAGGAAGUGCUCAAUGAAAGCAAAUUAAUUGUUUUGACCCUGCCAACCCCCAGCGUUGCUACGAGGUCUUCUAGAAGUUUAAUUCCGAACUCCUGUUAAAUAGUAUGUUUAUCACCUUUAUCAUUAUCAUGUUAUUUGUAUGUUAUUUACAACAGUUUCUUAUUUGAGACGCUCCGCCCACACUGUCCGGACACAGAACUGAAGCCAGCAUGAUUUCGUGCUAGUCCUCUGAUUUCACAGGAUCAUUUUAUUUUUCCAGGAAUCUCUUGCCCAAGCAAAUGGCUUGACCAUUCCUCCCGGGAACUUCCAUGGAAGCGUCCACAGUCUCGCCCCGAGGGCCAGAGAUCCGUCUCUGAAAGGCCUGGUCCUGCUGGGCCAUUUAUGGACAAAUCCCACGUGGUCUCUCAUCCUCACCGUCCCUGACCUGGGGACCGGGUCACACCUUCAUUCACACCUGGGGACCCGGCCCUCUGGCCAAAGGACUCAGCUGGACAGGCCGGGCCAGCCCACCUGUCACCCUUGGCCUCCUUCACAGACACACGCCUCCCGGGCUAGGGUCUCAAGGGGUCUGCAGCCUCCUGCCCUGGACGGUGGGGAAGCUCCGGGGGCCAGGCCGGGGGCCCAGCCCGAGUCUGACUCGGGGUCUCCUCUCCUGGGCCUUCAGAGGCACCCCCUGCUGGCGCUCCGUCUUCCUGGUGACAGUGAGAGACUGUUGUCCAUGGCUGUGACCCCAGAGCCCCCAGAUCGAGGAAGGGCUGCUUCACAGCCUCCCUGAGGGUUUCUCAGGAAGCUCGUGGGCUGCAGCCCCUUCUCAGGCUGGCGGCCACAGGGCAGGUGGUGUCCUGUAGGUGCCGGCGUGUCCCAUCCCCAAUAGCCUGCUCUCAGGAAGUUUCUCUUCCAUCAGGAGGGACGUGCUGGCCCCACAGAGGUUGCCCAGGCUUCCUCCUCAUGGCUUCUCCCGAGGAAGCACCGCAUCUUCGUGCCGGAGGACGUCUGCCAGCUCUUCGUGUCUCCUGAGUCCCUGAGGGGAGGUGUGGGUCGGGCUGGGAUCCUUGGCGCCUGCCUGACAUGACCUGAUUCGCUGACACGUGUUCAGCUGUUACUCAGAAGGGGUGAUGGCCUGCAAGGACGUGUCACUAAAUCAGAUGUGGAAAACGUCUCCAGGUUUCGGGACAAAGGCAUUUCCCACCCUGUUGGCAUCAGAACCAAGGUGGGAAUUUCGAGAUGGGGUGACAGCAGGGAGGUCCUUGCUGGGCUCCUGGGGAUGUAGAGAAGGGCUGUGUGAGCUCACCAGCUGGGACUCGACAUCACAAACAGCGCAUCCACCCAACAAAAACAAAUCUCUGCUUUUGGAAACAUCCUAAGUUAUAGAAGCUCCGUGACAUUGAAAGCGAAUAAAAAUUCUUUAAAGAAUGCAAAAGGAAAUGAAUUUUCUUCCAAAUAAUAUCUCACAUGAUAUCAUCUAAACAUGCUGGGUUGGGUUGUUCUCCUUGGCAAUGGAGUUAAUUUUAGUUUUUAAAAUUCGUGGUUCAUCUCUGGAUCCCUUUCUGUCAGUUCAGGGUAUCAUCCCUUUGAUUUCUACAGAAUUUCUAAGAUUCUUCAUUUCCGAUUCCAAGAGUUCUGGUUUUAUUGCUGUAGAACAAAACAGCAUUUGAUGGAUUUUUUUUUUUUCAAGAAAUGUACGACCCAUACUACAUUCUUCCCCCUCAUGAGUACAUUCUCAGUACUUUGAGUUCAAUGGCUGGGACUCUCUGAGUUGGAGGAAGCGGGGGCC